CGUGGGGAACCUGCCCCAUAGUCUGGGAUACCACUUGGAAACAGGUGCUAAUACCGGAUAAGAAAGCGGAUCGCAUGAUCAGCUUUUAAAAGGCGGCGUAAGCUGUCGCUAUGGGAUGGCCCCGCGGUGCAUUAGCUAGUUGGUAAGGUAAAGGCUUACCAAGGCGAUGAUGCAUAGCCGAGUUGAGAGACUGAUCGGCCACAUUGGGACUGAGACACGGCCCAAACUCCUACGGGAGGCAGCAGNG
rnacentral:rRNA from 1 species